AAACUUUGUUUCUCGUAUUUUGCUUCCAAAAUUACAGAAGUUAUCUGCAAUGCCAGAGGGAUGUGCCUUUGGGAAUGCGAACGACAGAAAUGGUGCGUAUGGCCGUCAUCAGCUCGUGCCACAAGGUGUUGCUUUAAAUCCCAAAAUGAGUGCAACCCUUGUGUCUCCAUUAAGUUUGGAAUCCUAAACGGGCUUCCAAGGACAUGUUAGAGGAAGGUGAGGAUGAGGUCAAGGGUUCAUGCCCCUUACCUCCUGGGCAGCAAACGUGCUUCAAAGGCCGAGACAAGAGGUCAUGAGUAUGAGUCAAUUCCAAAAAUUCAUCCUCAGUUCGGAUUGCAUGGUGAAUCUCAAUUAAUGAAAUCCGA
rnacentral:ncRNA from 1 species